rnacentral:rRNA from 1 species
AUUGAACGCUGGCGGCAUGCCUUACACAUGCAAGUCGAACGGUAACGGGCCUUCGGGUGCCGACGAGUGGCGAACGGGUGAGUAAUACAUCGGAACGUGCCCGAUCGUGGGGGAUAACGAGGCGAAAGCUUUGCUAAUACCGCAUACGAUCUACGGAUGAAAGCAGGGGACCGCAAGGCCUUGCGCGGACGGGGCGGCCGAUGGCAGAUUAGGUAGUUGGUGGGAUAAAAGCUUACCAAGCCGACGAUCUGUAGCUGGUCUGAGGGGAUGAUCAGCCACACUGGGACUGAGACACGGCCCAGACUCCUACGGGAGGCAGCAGUGGGGAAUUUUGGACAAUGGGCGCAAGCCUGAUCCAGCCAUGCCGCGUGCAGGAUGAAGGCCUUCGGGUUGUAAACUGCUUUUGUACGGAACGAAAAGCCUUCUUUUAAUACAGGAGGGUCAUGACGGUACCGUAAGAAUAAGCACCGGCUAACUACGUG